UACGUAGGGUGCAAGCGUUGUCCGGAAUUACUGGGCGUAAAGAGCUCGUAGGUGGUUUGUCGCGUUGUUCGUGAAAACUCACAGCUCAACUGUGGGCGUGCGGGCGAUACGGGCAGACUUGAGUACUGCAGGGGAGACUGGAAUUCCUGGUGUAGCGGUGGAAUGCGCAGAUAUCAGGAGGAACACCUAUAGCGAAGGCAGCUUGCUGGGACGUUACUGACGCUAAGGCGCGAAAGCGUGGGGAGCGAACAGGA
rnacentral:rRNA from 1 species